UGGGGAAUUUUGGACAAUGGACGCCCUUCUGAUCCAGCCAUGCCGCGUGCGGGAAGAAGGCCUUCGGGUUGUAAACCGCUUUUGUCAGGGAAGAAACGCUCUGGGUUAAUACCUCGGGGUAAUGACGGUACCUGAAGAAUAAGCACCGGCUAACUACGUGCCAGCAGCCGCGGUAAUACGUAGGGUGCAAGCGUUAAUCGGAAUUACUGGGCGUAAAGCGUGCGCAGGCGGUUAUGCAAGACAGAUGUGAAAUCCCCGGGCUCAACCUGGGAACUGCAUUUGUGACUGCAUGGCUAGAGUACGGUAGAGGGGGAUGGAAUUCCGCGUGUAGCAGUGAAAUGCGUAGAUAUGCGGAGGAACACCGAUGGCGAAGGCAAUCCCCUGGACCUGUACUGACGCUCAUGCACGAAAGCGUGGGGAGCAAACAGGAUUAGAUACCCUGGUAGUCCACGCCCUAAACGAUGUCAACUGGUUGUUGGGAGGGUUUCUUCUCAGUAACGUAGCUAACGCGUGAAGUUGACCGCCUGGGGAGUACGGCCGCAAGGUUG
rnacentral:rRNA from 1 species